UGACUGAGAAUCUGAGAAUUCCUUAUGAAGUACACAUCUGGGAGAGUUUGUGUGCUUUGUUUGUUUCACCAGCAAAUGAAUUUUAGGAAGAAUUAUCCAGAUGAUUUGUGUGUGAUGUAAGCAAGCUUCUCCCAAGAGGGGGAAGCUUUAUGCCUUGAAUAUUAAGAAAGAAUUGCUUCAGGAAUUGUAAAGAAAAAAAAACUUUAGCUCUCAUUCAGCGAGCUGGGAAUGCAGGAUUAAAGCAUUGGAUUGGAGGUCCUUUUUGCCAUUUGUCAUUACCUGAUCCUGAAUAGCAGCAACUGUCUGAAGAAAGACUGUAAGAGAGAAAGACU